rnacentral:lncRNA from 1 species
CACUCUAACCACUAGGCUACCUGCCGCCCCUCCACUCUAACCACUAGGCUACCUGCCGCCCCUCCACUCUAACCACUAGGCUACCUGCCACCCCCCCACUCUAACCACUAGGCUACCUACCGCCCCUCCACUCUAACAAAUGCUGAGCCUUUAUAGUCGUUCAUAACGGACCACAUGAUGACACAGAAGCAUCGUCGUUGUGAGUUCCACAAGUGGGUGUGGAAGAGGUGAAAAUAUUGUUAGUGUCUAUAUAAAUAAGGACAAACCACCUGCUACCAACAACCUGGAUGGUACAUUUGCCACAUCUUCAAUUUAAGCCUAGAAGACGCUGUGUGCCCUCAGACAUGGGUACCAAAACAUUCCUGCAGCGUUGAAGGUCCCCAAGAACACAGUGGCUUCCAUCAUUCUUAAAUGGAAGAAGUUUGGAACCACCAAGACUCCUCCUAGAGCUGGUCGCCCGGCCAAACUGAGCAAUCGUCAGGGAGGUGACCAAGAACCUGAUGGUCACUAUGACAGAGCUCCAGAGUUCCUUUGUGGAGAUGGGAGAACCUUCCAGAAGGACAACCGUCUCUGCUGUACCAAUCAGGCCUUUAUGGUAUAGUGGCCAGACGGAAGCUACUCCUCAGUAAAAAGCACGACAGCCCACUUGGAGUUUGCCAAAAGACACCUGAAGACUCUCAGACCAUGAGAAACAAGAUUCUCUGGUCUGAAGAAACCAAGAUUGAAAUGUGGCACCAUCUCUAUGGUGAAGCAUGGUGGUGGCAGCAUCAUGCUGUGGGGAUGUUUUUCAGCGACUGGACCUGGGAGACUAGCCAGGAUCGAGAGAGAUAUAAACGUAGUAAAGAGAGUUCCUUGAUGAAAACCUGCUCCAGAGUGCUCAGGAGCUCAGACUGGGGUGAAGGUUCACCUUCCAACAGGACAACGACCCUAAGCACAGCCAAGACAACACAGAAGUGGCUUCAGGACAAGUCUCUGAAUGUCCUUGAUUGGCCCAUCCAGCCAGCCAGAACCCGAUCUAACAUCUCUGGAUAGACCCAUCCAACCUAUCAGAGCUUGAGAGGAUCUUCAGAGAAGAAUGGGAGAAACUCCUCAAAAACAGGUGUGCCAAGCUUGUAGAGUCAUACCUAAGGCUGUAAUCACUGCCAAAGGUGCUUCAACAAAGUACUGAGUAAAGGGUCUGAAUACUUAUGUAAAUGUGAUAUUAGUUUUUCUUAUUUUAAUACAUUUGCAAACAUUUCUAAAAACUGUUUUUGCUUUGUCAUUAUGGGGUAUUAUGUAUAUAUUGAUGAGAGAAAAAAACAAUUUAAUCAAUUUUAGAAUAUAACGUAACAAAAUGUGGAAAAAAAUAAAGGUUUGAAUACUUUCCGAAUACACUGUAUCUAUUCUCUCAACCAGCUUCAUGAGGUAGUCGCCUGGAAUGUAUUUCAAUGAACAGGUGUGCCUUGUUAAUCAGGCCUUUGUGGUUGAAUUGCUGCAAAGAAACCACUACUAAAGGACACCAAUAAGAAGAAGAGACUUGUUUGGGCCAAGAAACACGAGCAACGGACAUUAGACUGGUGGAAAUCUGUCCUUUGGUUUGAUGAGUCCAAAUUUGUGAUUUUUGGUUACAACCUCUGUGUCUUUGUGAGAUGCAGAGUAGGUGAACGGAUGAUCUCCGCAUGUGUGGUUCCCACCGUGAAGCAUGGAGGAGGAGGUGUGAUGGUGUUGGGGUGCUUUGCUGGUGACACUGACAAUAAACCAACACACCUCCAGGCUGUGUAAGGGAUAUUUGAACAAGAAGGAGAGUGAUGCAUCAGAUGACCCGGUCUCCACAAUCACCCAACCUCAAUGAGAUGGUUUGGGAUGAGUUGGAACGCAGAGUGAAAGAAAAUCAACCAACAAGUCUCAGCGUAUGUGGGAACUCCUUCAAGACUGUUGGAAAAGCAUUCCAGGUGACGCUGGUUGAGAGAAUGCCAAGAGUGUACCAAGCUGUCAUCAAGGCAAAGGGUUGCUACUUUGAAGAAUCUCAAAUAUAUUUUGAUUUGUUUAACACUUUGUUUGGCUACUACGUGAUUCCAUAUGUGUUAUUUCAUAGUUUUGAUGUCUUCAAUAUUAUUCUACAAUGUAGAAAAUUGUAAAAAAUAACGAAAAACACUGGAAUGCGUAGGUGUGUCCAAACUUUUGACUGGUACUGUAUAAAACACCUUGCAGAAAGCAUAUCCAACUGACAAUUUAUUAGAAAAAAAUAUUAACUUUUGGAACCAAGACUUAAAAAUAACUUAUGUUGGCACAAAAUGGAGGGAAAAGAUGGAGCAUAACUAACAAAAUGGAGGGAAAAGAUGGAGCAUAACUAACAAAAUGACGUAAUGUACCUUUAAUCCAGUAUAAGCUAAUGUAUAGAAUGUAUUAUACGAGAGACAAAAUUCACAAAUUUCUACAGCACAACGACAGAGUCAUAUCUUAAGUGUGAAACUAAUAAUGACUCAAUAAUCCAUUCUUUCUGGGAUAAAGUCUGGAAUUGUGGGCGGAGAUAGGCAGUUGGCUGUCAAAAGUAUAACAAAUGUCAACUUAGUUUGGAUCCGUCUGCCUGCAUAUUUCUAGACAUGGCAUAUGGGGGUGUAGUAAGAUACUCGAUGGGGUUUGACGAUUCUCUUAUAAUCACUCAUCUUGAAAAAAAACCAUAUACUAAAAACUUGGAAAUCAAUCAGCCACCAUCAUUAACACAAUGGAAAAAUCGAACGAUUUACUAUCUAAAUAUUGAAAGUGUGUGGGCUACGGAGAGAAACAAAAUGGAGCAGUUUCAGGCCAAGUGGCAAACAAUAACGAAGGCAGUAGUGAUGGGGGCGUGAGGAUGCGGGUCUGGGCAGAGGAGAUGUAGUCGUUGUUUUAUUUUUAAUUAUUUUUUUAAACUAGGCAAGUCAAUUAAGAACAAAUUCUUAUUUACAAUGACGGCCUACCAAAAGGGAAAAGGCCUCCUGCGGGGACGGGGGCUGGGAUUAAACACUUACAAUUUUUUGUUUGAAAUUUAGUACAAAACACACAUCACGACAAGAGAGACAACACAACACUACAUAAAGAGAGACCUAAGACAACAACACAGCAAGACAGCAACAUAUGACACCACAGCAUGGUAGCAACACAACAUGACAACAACAUGGUAGCAACACAACAUGACAACAACAUGGUAGCAACACAACAUGACAACAACAUGGUAGCAACACAACAUAACAACAACAUGGUAGCAACACAACAUAACAACACAACAUGGUAGCAACACAACAUGGCAGCAGCACAAAACAUGGUAUCAACAUUAUUUGGCACAGACAACAGCACAAAGGGCAAGAAGGUAGAAACAGCAAUACAUCAAACAAAGCAGACGCAACUGUCAGAAAGAGUUUCCAUGAUUGAGUCUUUGACUGAAUGGUAAAGAUGAGGUCAUCUUUACUCUUCUGCCUUGUGAGUGGAAGGGGGACUGGGGAAAGGGUGAGGAGGCAAGGAAGGGAACGAAGAGGCAAGGAAGGGAACGAAGAGGCAAGGAAGGGAACGAGACAGUUGGAAAGAAAUGAAUCGAAGGCAGACUUCAGGAGGUUGAAGUUGCUAGUCC